UACAGAGGUCUCGAGCGUUUAGGCGGAAUCACUGGGCUUAAAGCGUGUGUAGGCGGGUCGUUAAGUGCCUUGUGAAAUCCCAUGGCUCAACCAUGGAACUGCUGGGCAUACUGGCGAUCUUGUGCCACCUAGGGGCGAGCGGAACAGAUGGUGGAGCGGUGAAAUGCGUAGAUAUCUGGAGGAACACCGGUGGCGAAGGCGCAUCCUGGACCGGCAUUGACGCGUGAGGCGCGGAAAGCCAGGGAGCAAACGGG
rnacentral:rRNA from 1 species